AUUGAACGCUGGCGGCAGGCCUAACACAUGCAAGUCGAACGAGUGGCGGACGGGUGAGUAAUGUCUGGGAAACUGCCCGAUGGAGGGGGAUAACUACUGGAAACGGUAGCUAAUACCGCAUACCAUCGGAUGUGCCCAGAUGGGAUUAGCUUGUAGGUGAGGUAACGGCUCACCUAGGCGACGAUCCCUAGCUGGUCUGAGAGGAUGACCGGCGAACGUGUGAAUGAGACACUGGCCAGACUCUUACGGGAGGAGGCAGUGGGGAAUAUGGUACAAGGGGCGCAAGCCUGAUGUAGCCAUGCCGGGUGUAUGAAGAAGGCCUGCGGGGUGUAAAGUACUUUCAGCGGGGAGGCGUUACCCGCAGAAGAAGCACCGGCUAACUCCGUGCCAGCAGCCGCGGUAAUUC
rnacentral:rRNA from 1 species